CCUACGGGAGGCAGCAGUGGGGGAUAUUGCACAAUGGGGGAAACCCUGAUGCAGCGACGCCGCGUGUGGGAAGACGGUCCUCUGGAUUGUAAACCACUGUCCCCAGGGACGAAGAUGACGGUACCUGGGGAGGAAGCUCCGGCUAACUACGUGCCAGCAGCCGCGGUAAUACGUAGGGAGCGAGCGUUGUCCGGAAUUACUGGGUGAAAAGGGAGCGUAGGCGGGACUGCAAGUUGGGUGUCAAAUCUACCGGCUCAACCGGUAGCCGCACUCAAAACUGCAGUUCUUGAGUGAAGUAGAGGCAGGCGGAAUUCCUAGUGUAGCGGUGAAAUGCGUAGAUAUUAGGAGGAACACCAGUGGCGAAGGUGGCCUGCUGGGCUUUUACUGACGCUGAGGCUCGAAAGUGUGGGGAGCAAACAGGAUUAGAUACCCCAGUAGUC
rnacentral:rRNA from 1 species